rnacentral:lncRNA from 1 species
AGGACAGGAGCUACUUCUUUGCUGAACUGCAUUGCGGUUUCAACUCUGAGGUUUUCUUCAAGCUUUGCAUUGUUCAGAAUGUGAGAGGCACGGCCGAGACACAUUUUGGGGUUCCCACUGCAUUGCUACACCUCCCCCCUCACUUCAGGGCCAGGUAACACCAAGAAGGACGCCAUGAGAGCGAAGGCCUUGGGUAACCGCCCUUUGCUCUCACGCUGCGCGUCUCCCUGCCAUGAACCGCCGCAACCGGUGCUGGGAGCGGUUGAGGGCCGCCGCCGGCGCUGGAACCUCGCCGCCUCAAGGCUCGUGCGCAGGCGCAGGGCUGGCCUGGAGCCCACCCUGGGAGAGCCCCGCUGGAGAUGGGGAAAUGGAGGAGGCGGCACCUGGGCGCUUCCUGGGGCCAGACAACGCCCCUCAUUGGAACCUCCAUGACCGUGCCUCUGAGAAACCAGCGCAUCGGCAACGACCACUCCUAAUUUUCGGAUUCCUAUCGUCUGUCUCCACGUGAUAGCAUUGAAGAGCCUUCACCUCUAUGCAGGCCCAGGGCUUCAAGUGCAGAGACUGAGAGCUCUGCAGGACACAGCAUGGAGCUGCCAUUCCUCUACUGUUCCGUGAUUGGGUGGAAGAGCAUGUGUCCUCUGAACAGGGGAUCCAAGCCCUGAGAUGUUCUUUCUCAGCAGUCAGUGUGGCCCAGGAGUUUCUGUGGGGAUGCUCAGAGAGCAGGGGCUGGAGGACUUUUAGCCACCACCUCCCAUGGCCAGUCUUCACAAAUUACCUUUGGCUAAUUUGAUUGUCUCUCCUCCUGGGGUCUAGGACUUCAAACAUGUACAGAAGCGAUUGCAGAAUUAAGACAAGACACUGUUCCACAGUAUAGUUUUUGUAUCACUGGCUCAGAAAAAGACUCAUUCAAAUCCUAUAUCAAAGCCAUGUGUGAGAAUCUUGAGAAAGCAUCGGUUGACUGACUUGACAAGGGAGGAAGCUACCAAGAAUGCUGCCCUUCUUCAGUAUCUGAGUAUGAUAUUUUGCUUCAACAUCCCUCUUAGAUGAAGUUAUUGAUUGAAAAUCAUUUAAGUUUGCCCCGUGAUAAAAGAUCAAGUCCUCAGAAAGAUCUCCAAAGCGUUUAUGGUUUGUUUGGUUUGGUUUGGUUUUGGUAGGUUUACCAUGAUUUUGCUUGAAUUGCUCUCCGUUGAUCUUCUCAGCUAAGAUCGAGGUAGAGUUGCACAGCGGAAGAGGGCUGCAUGUAAGUAGGCAGGUCUGUCUCAGAGGACAAAAGGCCUGGGAGCACCCAGACAGGCAAUCACUGCAUGGAGGUCACUCCCCUCCCAGUGGCCACUGUGGAGGCAUUUCAUAGAAAUGCUUGCUGGACCAUUCAGGUUUAGAGUUGGGACAAAACCGAGAACUCAUGGGGAUAUUGGACAGGAGUUAGGAAAUGACCUUCUCACACAACUGGCGCAAGGAGGGGAGAACCCUGGGCUUGAGACUUGCAAUCCACCACCUGCCCCUGCAGUGUGGCCCCUGUUACAUUUUUCUGCAACUCUGCCUUCUUGAGUCCAAAUGUCUUCAAAUGGGGCAAAUGCUUCAUAAGUUCCAACAGAGUGUGUUUCAGUGAAUGUUCGCAGUGUGCACCGGUCUGGCUGAAGGCCUCUUCCCUUCCCCAACACCCUCCCAUCGUGCAAAAUUACCCUGCCCAGCAGGGAGUGAUGUGUGUCAGAAAUUUUGCUGCUGUGCUCUGAGUACUCCUUAUCUCCUUUGACCAGUUUCCUAACACUCCCCUGUCACAACACAGAACAUGGGUGCUCUUUCCUGUCAUUUUGACACUAAUAAAUGGACAGUGAUUCUCAGUGUG